rnacentral:rRNA from 1 species
UACGUAGGGUGCAAGCGUUAAUCGGAAUUACUGGGCGUAAAGCGUGCGCAGGCGGUUCUAUAAGACAGAUGUGAAAUCCCCGGGCUCAACCUGGGAACUGCAUUUGUGACUGUAGAGCUGGAGUACGGUAGAGGGGGAUGGAAUUCCGCGUGUAGCGGUGAAAUGCGUAGAUAUCUGGAGGAACACCGGUGGCGAAGGCGGCAUCCUGGACCGGUAUUGACGCUGAGGCGCGAAAGCUAGGGGAGCAAACGGG